rnacentral:rRNA from 1 species
AUUCCAGCUCCAAUAGCGUAUAUUAAAGUUGUUGCAGUUAAAAAGCUCGUAGUUGGAUCUCAGGGUGAGCUCAGUUGGUCGGCCUAAUUGGUCAGAACUGGCUGACUCUCCCUUGUUUCUGAAUCCCGGUCGGAGUUAAUUCUUCGUUCGUGGACUCCAGAUCGUUUACCUUGAAAAAAUUAGAGUGUUCAAAGCGGGCGUUUGCUUGAAUACAUUAGCAUGGAAUAAUGGAAUAGGACCCUGGUUCUAUUUUGUUGGUUUUGAGGACCAGAGUAAUGAUUAAUAGGGAUAGUUGGGGGCAUUCAUAUUUAAUUGUCAGAGGUGAAAUUCUUGGAUUUAUGAAAGAUGAACUUCUGCGAAAGCAUUUGCCAAGGAUGUUUUCAUUG